CACUCUUUCAGUGCGACAGCUUCGGAGCUGAUGGAGAGACAGAAAGCACGCAACUGGAAAAAUUCAAACAUGGAAUUCAUGGAUUAAAUGGUCACCAAUUGUUUCAGCAUUGCGUAUUGAAUAAUACAACCUUCUUCCACUGCCGUGAAAUGUCAACAGCUGCUCUCCCACUAGAUAGGGCGUAGCUUUCCACAGACGUGAAAACAUUGCUGUGGUCCAUCUCUAUUUACUGCAAGCAGAAAGGUCAAGACAGAAAACAUAGAGGCUUUUAGUAGGAGAUUGAAAUAGCUACAGUGCAAGACAAAGAGAGGCCUUCAUGCAUGGUGUGCAUUUGCCACCUAGCGACCACACUGAGGGAGAAGGAACGUGGAGCAUCUGCACAGUCUUCCAAACAACACCCCUCACCCAUAGUUGAAACUUUGGAUUCACACCCUUCUCUGGCACUUCUGACAAUAAGCUUGGUGACCCAUGCUCUGGAGGAAGACAGUGAAGAAGAACAAGACUACUUUUCUGCGGCAAACUCUUAUGUUCUCUGUUCUCUCCUUACCACCGUUGUCAUGAGCAGCAUUUUUCAUAGAUGCACUGUUAUCCUUGCCAUGAGGGCAGACAAAAAUGAAAAAUAGUUGCCAAGUAACCACAAUGGCUGAUAUGAAACUUUGGGAAAUAUCACUGAGAUGCGCUUUGAUAUUUUAUUUCUGUGAACAAACCAAUUGUCUUGGACUUUCACAGUACUCUUUUCUAUGUCUCACCCUUUACCACAAAGGUCCUUUAGUCCUCUGACAUGCAUAGUGUGAGGGAUUCUGUCACACAUUCUAGAACCUCGUAAAGCAUGAGGGGCCUGCUAUCUGUGCUUUAUCAUCUUCAUUCCUGAAGUUUACUUUAAUUCUGAUUAGUUUGGCAUAAGGUCAUUUGUUGUGUGUAGUCAUCUAAGUUAUGUAUUGCCUGAUCCUAAGUAGCAGAGCAUUUAUCAUAAAUUCCUUGAUUUGCAUUGGUACCUAAUCAAGGUGGAAGAGUUAAUAUAGUUAAUUUCCAUAGUUCCCUCUUGUUCUCAUGUUUGCCUCACCAAAGUGUUUCUGAGAUGCUAAACCUCCUCCAGAAAAGGUAAUGCUAAUAUUUCCUAUUCCCAAAAGGUGCUGCAGAACUCACUUCUAGUUGAAGUUUGAGAGUUUAAUUCACUUUUGUAAUCUCAUUAUUUGACUAAAGUAUUGUUAAAGUGAAUUUUGAAUGUUUGAAAUUUCCUAUGCAGAUUUAACAAACAGAGAAAAUGACAAAACCAGAGGUAAGACACUCAGAAAAGAUUAUUUUUUUUCUGGCAUAUGAUGAGCCUGUCUGGUCUUUUAGUACUUAUACAUACUUUCACCUGCUAUCUAUUUUGAACCCAGUUGUGUUCUUUUUCUGGGAACAGAGAGAAAGUCUGACUAGCAUUGCUUGAUCUUUUUGCCCUAACUGCUACUGUGCCAACAUUAUAGAAGGAGCACCCUGAUUGCAUAGGAUAAUGACAUGAGAGUGCCUGAAGAGAGAAAGGAAGAGUAAAUCUUGAUAUGAAGUUGGGAAAAAGAUAACUUAAUAUAUCCUAAAUUGCAUAAAGACAUCCUGGAAUGCAAGCAGUUUGUUCAGUAAUGAAGUAAAUGUUUCUUUUGAGCCAUAGUGUUAAUAAAAGACCUUGCUCUCACAUUAAGCAAGAUGGCUGGCAGUCUCGAGGCUCAGAAGAAGAAGAUGUAGGUUGAAAGUGCACUGUCAGAUAGUGUGGACCUAGUAAUGUUAUAGUUCUGAGCAAGUACUCACUUCUCCUCUAACCUAAAUCGUUCUCAGCAUUGACUGAAUUUUGGAGUCAGGGAGGGGAGCUCUGAAAACAUGGCAUUUCUGGAAUGUGUUCCCAGCAGUAGGGACAGUGCCUAUAUAUUUGGAAACCUACUCAAUGGUUCUGUCUACAUCUCUAGAUGAAUACUUCUGCUAUGAGGUGAUAAGAAAUUAAGAUAGAAAAAUAGAAGAGAACUAGUUUUGGGCUCAGGGAACAAGGUUAACAUGAUCAUCUCAGUUUGUUCUGCCACUAGUUCAAUGAGCAGUCUUACUAAAGUCACACUAGACAUUUCCUAGUUUCUAAAUGAGGUUAUAGUAUCUUUAUCUCCAAGUAUUCUAACUUCGGUAUUGCCACGUUCAGACAAAAUGACAUCAACCUUAUUGGUUAACUUUGUGAGUACCUUAGACUUUACACAGAAGCCAGGGUAAAUCAUAAUGUUAAAUAUUCAUGUUAUUUGAAAAAUGAGGGUGUUUAGACUGCAGAUAUAGUUAUGUAGUAGAGCCCUUGCUUGGCUAAUUAUAGGCUCUGGGUUCAUUCUCCAGCACUGUAAAAAUGUGGUUGUGAGUAAAGCUUUGUGUAUUUUAGAUCCUCCCAGAAAAGAAAGUUAGGUGUUAGGUAACAUAGAAUAAAGAGGUCAACUUCUUAAUGAGAAAACACCUUCCAUGAGUCAUAUAUGUAUAUAUUCUAUUAUAUAUAAUAGCAUUUGGAAAAAAUAACUCAAACCACUUUCAUAUGCUUUUAAACAAUUUAU